UACAGAGGUCUCAAGCGUUGUUCGGAUUCAUUGGGCGUAAAGGGUGCGUAGGUGGCGUCGUAAGUGGGGUGUGAAAUCCCGGGGCUUAGCCCCGGGACUGCAUUCCAUACUGCGGUGCUUGAGGACUGGAGAGGAGACUGGAAUUUACGGUGUAGCAGUGAAAUGCGUAGAGAUCGUAAGGAAGACCAGUGGCGAAGGCGGGUCUCUGGACAAUUGCUGACGCUCAGGCACGAAAGCGUGGGGAGCAAAAGGG
rnacentral:rRNA from 1 species